UCGCUAUCGGCCUUGCGGGGAUGGCCACUCGGGCGGGGGCCGGGGCUGUGGUCGCCGGCGCAGCCGUGGUUGCGUUGCUGUCGGCCGCCCUCGCGCUCUACGGGCCGCCGCUGGACGCAGUUUUAAGAAGAGCAUUUUCAUUGCAUAAACCACAUUCAAUAACGGAUAUGGAAAAUACUUUACAGCUGGUGAGGAAUAUCAUCCCUCCUCUAACCACCAAGAAGCACAAAGGUCAGGACGGAAGAAUAGGUAUAGUCGGAGGCUGCCAGGAGUACACAGGAGCCCCCUACUUCGCAGCAAUUUCCGCUCUCAAAGUGGGUGCAGAUCUAUCGCACGUGUUCUGCACGCGGGAGGCUGCUCCCGUGAUCAAGUCGUACAGCCCGGAGCUGAUCGUUCACCCUGUUCUCGACAGCCCCAGUGCCGUGCGGGACGUGGAGACAUGGUUGCCCCGACUGCACGCCCUGGUGGUAGGACCUGGCCUGGGCAGAGACAACGUUCUUCUUGAAAACGUUAAGGUAUGUGCAGGUCCUCGGAGCCUCCAAAAUAAUUUACUUGAAGGAAAUAGGAGUUUAAAGGGCAUCUUAGAAGCAUCCAAAGCCAGGGAUGUCCCCAUCAUCAUCGAUGCGGAUGGGCUGUGGCUCAUUGCUCAGCACCCGGCCCUCAUCCACGGCUACCGGAAGGCCGUUCUCACUCCCAACCACGGGGAAUUCACCAGACUCUCUGACGCCGUGCUUAGGGAUCUUGUGAACGGCAGUGAUCAUCGUGAAGGCAGUGAUCAUCGUGAAGCCGUACGGAGACUCAGCCAGGCCUUGGGGAACGUGACCGUGGUCCGGAAAGGGGAGCGGGAUGUGAUGUCUGACGGCGAACACGUGCUCGAGUGUGCCCACGAAGGCAGCAGCCGCAGGUGUGGCGGCCAGGGAGACCUGAUGUCGGGUGCCCUGGGUGUCCUGGUGCACUGGGCACUGCACGCCAGCCCCGAGAAGACAAACGGGUCCAGCCCUCUGCUCCUGGCCGCCCUGGGCGCAUGCUCUCUCACACGCCAGUGCAGCCACCAGGCUUUCCAGAAGCACGGCCGCUCCACCACCACCACCGACAUGAUCGCGGAGGUCGGGCCCGCGUUCCGCAGACUCUUCGAAACCUGAGCCGAGGCAACGGGAAACAGGCCGCACCACGGAUGGGGACGCUGCGUUUGUCGCGGGUCCCCGUCCUCGGGGUACGAGAGCAGCAUGAUCCACAGCAGACGCCUUUCCUAGGUGAGGACACAGCAGGGAGAUGAAAAUGUAAAAGCCUGUUGCCAACGUUGUUAAAAUGCGCUCGGCCUUUCCUUCUGCUGAAAAUAAACUGUAGUAGUCACAGCAACGGUUUUUAUAGGUUUGCUCUAAGUACAAACCCUCUUGCUCAAAAUUCCUGUAGCUAGGGGCAAGUGGCUGUUACGAAAAUUAACUGCUUUCUUGUGCUUUUACAAACCCGUAUGAACUUACUAGCUCCAGCUAGGGAUGUGCUUUUCCUGAGAGCAGGCUAGCAACACAGAGCACAUUUGGGGGGCCGAGGUCGGCCUCCGGCCAUCAGGGGACAGUGUGACCCCCAGGUACUGAAGGGACUCUGGUAUCCUUGUAAGAGGCAUACCUGCCCAGGGUAUAUUUGCAUGAGCUGGGUCACUGUAGGCAAGUCUAGUUAUGAAUGGGUAGAAGGGGACACUGGUGCCUUUUGGGGUCCUGGAGGCCAGGGAUGAAGUGAAGGUGGCCGUGUGCUCACCCACAGGCCCAGGAAAUGCCAUCUCGGCAGUAUGGG